UUUACAACAUAAAUGAUUGAUCAGGCAAGAAUUCAAAGACACGAUCCUUGUGCAGCUGAUGAAGAUUCAGCUUCAGCUGAGCAAUUUGAUCCUUCUCUAACUUGCUCCACUUGGACUUCAGCUGCACAACAGUUUCCAUUCCCAUACGAACAAUUCCAGCGGAGAAUGCUGGAUAUUUCUUCAUCACAGAAACUAAAAGAAAAAAAUAUUUACAAACAUAAUCAUUCAAACACAAACCAACAAUCUAAACAAGAUUAAUAGAAAGACAAACACUUACCGAUACAUGCAGAAUCAGGAUAGCAUUCCAACCACUUAACAAUACUGGUUGUACAGUUGUCACAUUCAGCUGGAUUAACAGUAUAUUUAGAUGCUUUUCAAUCCCAAAACUACAGAAGAAAAAAAACAUACACGGAUUGGUACAGUAGCAGAGGCUGGAAGUGACAUCGGAGUCACUUAAUAAAGCCUACAAAACUCAAGAAAUGAAUCACUAACAAGCCACAACAUAAAGAACGAAAUAUGAACAAAACAUAAAUAAGUAAAACAUCCAAACCCAGUACAGUUGAAACCUUCAAUUUAAAACGAACAUUCAUCAGCAUUAAAAUCCAAAAUCAUUAGAAUCCAAAAAUAAUUAGAUAUUUAACAAGUUCCUCACAAAAAAAUACCUGAGUAGACUUUUCUUCAGAUGAGGAUUUCACAAUUGUUACUAUCUGCAAAAAUGAAAUAUUUAGAAAAAUCUAAACUUAAAUAUAAAUGACGAAACAGUAAACUACCUUGUCCUUCGUGCAUUUCUUCUUCGUAGCAGCAGCACAAGUAGCCAGUUUAUCCUUCAAACAAUUAUAAUACCAGUUUCAGUUUGAAGAUAUUUACAUAAAAGAAAUAACAUCAAAUAACAUCAUGUUCUUAAUUAAAGAGAUCUACACGGACAGCCAAACCUUGGGAUCAAAAUCAAUCCCUGGCUUAUCUUCUGAACAAGAAAUCUGACAUCUCACU
rnacentral:lncRNA from 1 species